GUGAGCCAGUACAGGAUGGACCCGCGUCUGAUUAGCUAGUUGGUAAGGUAACGGCUUACCAAGGCGACGAUCAGUAGCCGACCUGAGAGGGUGAUCGGCCACAUUGGAACUGAGACACGGUCCAAACUCCUACGGGAGGCAGCAGUGGGGAAUAUUGCACAAUGGGCGAAAGCCUGAUGCAGCAACGCCGCGUGAGUGAUGAAGGCCUUCGGGUCGUAAAACUCUGUCCUCAAGGAAGAUAAUGACGGUACUUGAGGAGGAAGCCCCGGCUAACUACGUGCCAGCAGCCGCGGUAAUACGUAGGGGGCUAGCGUUAUCCGGAUUUACUGGGCGUAAAGGGUGCGUAGGCGGUCUUUCAAGUCAGGAGUGAAAGGCUACGGCUCAACCGUAGUAAGCUCUUGAAACUGGGAGACUUGAGUGCAGGAGAGGAGAGUGGAAUUCCUAGUGUAGCGGUGAAAUGCGUAGAUAUUAGGAGGAACACCAGUUGCGAAGGCGGCUCUCUGGACUGUAACUGACGCUGAGGCACGAAAGCGUGGG
rnacentral:rRNA from 1 species